rnacentral:rRNA from 1 species
GACGAACGCUGGCGGCGUGCUUAACACAUGCAAGUCGAACGCUGAAGCCUAGCUUUUGUUGGGUGGAUGAGUGGCGAACGGGUGAGUAACACGUGAGUAACCUGCCCCCUUCUUUGGGAUAACGCCCGGAAACGGGUGCUAAUACUGGAUACUCACUGAUCUUCGCAUGGGGGUUGGUGGAAAGGUUUUUUCUGGUGGGGGAUGGGCUCGCGGCCUAUCAGCUUGUUGGUGGGGUGAUGGCCUACCAAGGCUUUGACGGGUAGCCGGCCUGAGAGGGUGACCGGUCACAUUGGGACUGAGAUACGGCCCAGACUCCUACGGGAGGCAGCAGUGGGGAAUAUUGCACAAUGGGCGAAAGCCUGAUGCAGCGACGCCGCGUGAGGGAUGGAGGCCUUCGGGUUGUAAACCUCUUUCGCUCAUGGUCAAGCCGCAACAUUGGUUGUGGUGAGGGUAGUGGGUAAAGAAGCGCCGGCUAACUACGUGCCAGCAGCCGCGGUAAUACGUAGGGCGCGAGCGUUGUCCGGAAUUAUUGGGCGUAAAGGGCUUGUAGGCGGUUGGUCGCGUCUGCCGUGAAAUCCUCUGGCUUAACUGGGGGCGUGCGGUGGGUACGGGCUGACUUGAGUGCGGUAGGGGAGACUGGAACUCCUGGUGUAGCGGUGGAAUGCGCAGAUAUCAGGAAGAACACCGGUGGCGAAGGCGGGUCUCUGGGCCGUUACUGACGCUGAGGAGCGAAAGCGUGGGGAGCAAACAGG